UCUCUUGCCCUUUGUCACGGCAGCCUGGCCUAUACUGCGGUCGACGGGCGUGGGGAAAGCCGGUGACGGCCUGCGGAGACGAGUCUUCCAGGCCCCCAUUCCGGCACUGUCGCGCAACGGUAAUCCGCCCCUGCCGGGUCUGGGUGGCGGAAAGUCCGAACACCUGCCCUGUCCGCGUUCCCGCC
rnacentral:ncRNA from 2 species